rnacentral:rRNA from 1 species
GCUGGCGGCGUGCCUAACACAUGCAAGUCGAGCGGGAAUCUACGAAAUGAAGCUUCGGCCGAUUUUUGUAGAGGAUAGCGGCGGACGGGUGAGUAACGCGUGAGUAACCUGCCCUUAAGAGGGGGGAUAACACACCGAAAGGUGUGCUAAUACCGCAUAAUAUAUGUUUACCGCAUGAUAGACAUAUCAAAGAUUUAUCGCUUAAGGAUGGACUCGCGUCUGAUUAGAUAGUUGGUGAGGUAACGGCUCACCAAGGCGACGAUCUGUAGCCGAACUGAGAGGUUGAUCGGCCGCAUUGGGACUGAGACACGGCCCAGACUCCCACGGGAGGCAGCAGUGGGGAAUAUUGCGCAAUGGGGGAAACCCUGACGCAGCAACGCCGCGUGCAGGAAGAAGGUCUUCGGAUUGUAAACUGUUGUCGCAAGGGAAGAAGACAGUGACGGUACCUUGUGAGAAAGUCACGGCUAACUACGUG